rnacentral:misc_RNA from 1 species
CGCACAUUGCGCCCAUUAGUAUUCUAUUGGGCAUGCCUGUUCGAGCGUCAUUUCCACCCUCAGGCUUCGGUCUGGUGAUGGGGGCCUGCACUGCAACCCCCGAAACUCAGUGGCGGGCGUGCUGAAACCCGAGCGUAGUACUCUUCUCGCUAUGGGCUACAGUGCUGUCCCAGCCGUAAAACCCCAUCUGACACAAAAGGUUGACCUCGGAUCAGGUAAGAAUACCCGCUGAACUUAA